rnacentral:rRNA from 1 species
UGUUGUUUAGUUGAAAAUCAAUUAAAUAAUUUUUGAUUUUGAGUAGUAUUGACUUCAUCAGCUUGCUGCUCUCUUUUCGGAAAUUAUUUAAUGCACUUUUCAGUUAACAAGUCAACAUCAAUUUCUUUUGUUGUAAAAAGGUAAGAGGAAGGUGGCUUACAUUUCGGUGUAAGUGUUUAUAGCCUUUUACCUCUGCAAUCGGAGAGAUUGAGGUCAGCAGCGUAGACUCUUCGGGGUUAGAUACGCUUGUGCUAAGCUAUAGCCUUGUAUAGACAACUUGUUGACUAUGCUCAGUCAUGUAGCUUACUCGCUUGCAGUAUUUUACCUAC